UAGAAGCCAAAGUAUGAGGGCACCAGGUA
rnacentral:piRNA from 1 species